rnacentral:lncRNA from 1 species
AGGGCGAGCAUUUAGCGUUUGCUGUGCGAGGGUUGAAGUGGCACCGGGACAUUGUGAAGUGCCUGGUAUGGCAGGACUUCAAGGGCAAGUCCUGAGACCUCUAGCAGGAGGAGCGGGUGGGUAGUAGUGGUUCGUGUAGAGGCGUGUUGGGCUGUGUAGGUGAGAGCUCAUGGGAGUACACAACGCAGAUAGAGCAAGAACAGCGGGAGUUUCUUAGGCAGCGCCAACAGGUGCGAACGCUGCUGGGGAGUUGGUGUGUUGCAGUGGGAGUUGGGCCAUGCACGUGAGACAGCGAGUGGCUGUACAGGUGUUCGCAUUUGCAGGUUAAAAGAACCGUGCCAUUCGUGUCAAGCAAGUGCAUGGAGUGGGUGGGUGAUGAACUGGAUUGUGGGGUAGAGCUGUGGGCGGGGGCAUGCGUUGGGGAAUCGGUUUUUCUGUGAGGGCGUGUGGGUGCGCUAAGGGCAAGGUAACAAGACAGCGUGGCUGUAGUCAGUUAGCAGUGUAGGGUUGCGGUUGGGGCCGGGCUGCAGCGGAAGUAGAAGUAGGGAUAGCUGCUUAUUGUGGCAAAGAUGCGCGGGAUGUCGUGCUGGCGAAAGCUUGCAAAGGUAGUGGGGUGCUGGAUGAGGCGCAUGAGGCGCAGUGGUGCAUUGGCUGCGGUGCUGGAAUGGACAGGAGGCAGCGAGGGCAAUGACAUGAGAUGAGCGGUUGUAUACAAUGAAGGUGUGCAGAAGUCGCAACGUUGGCAAUGUGCAACAUCAAUGUGUUUGUCGUGGUAUCAUAAGCAGAACUGCGCCAGACUGUGAGCACUGAGACUAGGAAAUGUCAAGCAGCCGCACAGAAGAUACAUCUACGCAACAGCCACAGCUUCUCAAUAGCGCAUUUGCGCGCACUACCAAGCAGUUCAGAGAUGCCUCCGUGCACGCAUGUUGCGCAUCAAAGCCAGGAAUGCAGGUUGGUUCUAAGCAGGGGUGGAGGCGUAAUCAGUCGUGGAGGAGUAAGCAGCAUUACGGCAGCUGCGCCUGCACGGUGGCGCCCGCGAUAGUCCAACGGCUGAUCCGGGCAUGCUGCGGCUCAUAGGGAGCGGGCUGUGCUGCCCAAGCGAGUACGGCGUCCAGCUGCGCUCCGUAGACGACGCGCGCCACAUCAGGCGGCAUGGUCACCUUCAAGGUGCGGGGAGAUGCGAGAGGCACGCAUGGUCAGGUGGAGCGCAAGUGGAGUGGCGGGUGGUGGAUGGCAUGAGCGGAGUCCAGGGAACGCACCAGGGUGCCAUCGUAUGCAGCCAGCGCGGCCGACAGCAAGUAGCCGAUGAGGUUGUUGUUGCUGCAGGCAGACAGGUUUGGAUAAAGCGCAGUGUGGUGAGCAAAGUGGUUGGGUGAUGCGGGGCCGAGGUUGGCAGGUACGUAGCCCAACCCAUAUAGGAGAACGGCUUACGCACUUACUCAAGCACGACUGGCAUGAAGGCGCCAUACACAGGCGCGUGGCUGGUGAAGGCGGCCUGGUCGAUGUUGGAGUUGAGCGUGAGCAUGUUUUGGUCAUGCACCAGAAGCUCGACUAGGAUGUGGAUCAGGAGGGGAGUGUCGGGCGUGACGCCCAUGAUGCCGGUCUCCAUUGUCGCGGUUAUCUCCUCGCCGCGGUUUUGCGCGGCCAUCAGGAACAGAGCACGGCGGCCAGCAGUGGGCUCGCGCAGCUUGUUCAGGAUGGCGCGACGCGAGGUGGGUGUGCGGAGCGAGAGGACGAUCUGAGGCACGGACAAGUGGGGAAGGGCGAGUGGAGAAGCGGGGUGGCAGUGGUAUGUACGGACACCGUGCAAAGCGAGGGAGGCUGGGGAGUGUAGAUACAAUGGUAUGGAGGUGGAGUACGACUAACAGGUUGUUGCAGAGCAGAGCUGCGUAGGCUCACCUGGACCGUGACAGAGGGGCGGCGUACCAGGGCGUUGAGCAGGCCUGCGUAGAAGAUUGGGACGCCUUCGAGCUGUAAGUCACCAUCGUCAUCUCCUGCUGGCGGCUGCAGCAUAGCGCCAGCGAUGGCGGCGGGCGCAGCGUCAGCGGCAGCGGCGGCACCAGCAGUGGCACCGGCGGCACCAGCGUCCUCAGCAAUCGCAGGCAGCGCAGGGUCAGCGGCGGCAGGAGGAAGAUGUGGAGGGAUGACGAUGAGGUUCUCGUUGAACACGGCAUGGAGGGGUGUCAGGAAGUUGAUGGGCACACGAAGCGAGGGCACCUGCAGAGGCGUAUGUGGAAGGCGCGGAAAUGGAUACUUGUCAAUACACGCUGAGGACCCUAAGUGCCGUAUGCAGGCGGAGUGCGUGACACAAGCAGUGGCAGGUGCAAGGUAGGUGCUGUGGUACUUGGUGCCCACCAAUAGCCUGCGGGCAGCGCUUACCAUGUUGGGAGGUGCAGUGAGUACCACCACCGAACGAGGUGAGGUCGCCAGAUUUGCGCCGACUCCCGGGGUUGAACUGUUGGUUGACUCCACCAUGGAGGUUUGUAAUCGUGAUGUGGUGAGGCACGUGGUAGCGGUGCGAGUUGUCUGCUGUGGGCAAGGCAGGUAACCGGCAGUGAGGUGGCUAAGUUGGUAUGGGAUAAUGAAUCGGGCAGGAGGGAGGGCUGGAUAAGAGGUACGUGCAUGGUAGGCGUGCCAGGUCUGCAGGACGAUAGGCAUUAAAGGCCCUGGAGGUGCAGCUGCGGGCCCGAGCACUUACCCAUCACGACGCUGAUGACGUUGAGCACAACGUUGCACCUGUCGCUCACAGCGCGGAUGGUGCCGUCAUCACCUAAGAUAUGGACUCGGUCAGACUGGACGCCCACGGCGUGAAUUGCAGGGUGCGCGGCGUUGGCGGCGCCGGCCAGCACGGUGACCACCCAUCCUGAAAGGCUGUGCUCGCCGGCAGUGCUGGGCAGGUGGGCGUGGGUGACACGGGUAGAGCGCUGAGAUGUGGACUGCAUGCGCUUCUCGAGCGCAGCUGCAAGCGACAUCCCGGUGGGCUUGCUGGGUGGCGUGCUGGACGUAGGGGCCGCAGGCGUGGCGGAGCCUGUAUGCAGGGACGAACGCAGCAGAAGUCGGAAUGGAUAUCGGCAAGAGGACGUGCUGCAGCGCGGCUGUCAGAGCUGUUGUGAAACAGUAUAUACCUCCAGCACCCGUACGGCGAGGCGCUGCCAGAGGGCGAGCAUUUAGCGUUUGCUGUGCGAGGGUUGAAGUGGCACCGGGACAUUGUGAAGUGCCUGGUAUGGCAGGACUUCAAGGGCAAGUCCUGAGACCUCUAGCAGGAGGAGCGGGUGGGUAGUAGUGGUUCGUGUAGAGGCGUGUUGGGCUGUGUAGGUGAGAGCUCAUGGGAGUACACAACGCAGAUAGAGCAAGAACAGCGGGAGUUUCUUAGGCAGCGCCAACAGGUGCGAACGCUGCUGGGGAGUUGGUGUGUUGCAGUGGGAGUUGGGCCAUGCACGUGAGACAGCGAGUGGCUGUACAGGUGUUCGCAUUUGCAGGUUAAAAGAACCGUGCCAUUCGUGUCAAGCAAGUGCAUGGAGUGGGUGGGUGAUGAACUGGAUUGUGGGGUAGAGCUGUGGGCGGGGGCAUGCGUUGGGGAAUCGGUUUUUCUGUGAGGGCGUGUGGGUGCGCUAAGGGCAAGGUAACAAGACAGCGUGGCUGUAGUCAGUUAGCAGUGUAGGGUUGCGGUUGGGGCCGGGCUGCAGCGGAAGUAGAAGUAGGGAUAGCUGCUUAUUGUGGCAAAGAUGCGCGGGAUGUCGUGCUGGCGAAAGCUUGCAAAGGUAGUGGGGUGCUGGAUGAGGCGCAUGAGGCGCAGUGGUGCAUUGGCUGCGGUGCUGGAAUGGACAGGAGGCAGCGAGGGCAAUGACAUGAGAUGAGCGGUUGUAUACAAUGAAGGUGUGC